CUAUUAAAACUGAAGUACAAUUAAUACUUAACCCUGAUUUUUCCUAAAUAUUUACCAUUCUAUGCCAUUGGAUUAUCAUUAUACACAGUCGUUUUUAACUGAGGAAACUCUACCUAAUAAAUUAAACGUGUUCUUAAAGGGAGAGAAGCAAUUACAUUAAGGGUACUUUAGUACUUGAUUACAUUAACCUAAUAUACUCUUAUUUGAUAGAACCUUGGCGAUUAAAGGGAGAUAGGUGAGUGAUGAAGAUCGUGUUGUUUCCAUUAACGGCGUCCUUAUGUUCAUCAUCUUGCGGUUGGAGUCUUGGAGCUUCUAAGACACUGGAAGAGAUUAGACUCUGGAGAUUUUUCCAAUCUAGAACAAUUUGAGUGAAGGGGAUGUGUUUUAAAAAUGUAAAGGUGCGAUGGAAUACAAUUCAGCAAACUUUGCAUACUAUCAACAUUCAAUAGUGUGCCAUUUUAACUCAAUUCUUUCUCUCUUUUGAUAUACCAUUCCAUGUUUCCGAAAUAGUGUUCAUUUUUGCUUGUAAGCACAGGUACGAGAAGAACUUGCGAAAAAGGAUUUCGAAAAUUUAAAGCAAGACAGUGCUGAUAUAGAACCACAAAACCAUCCACAACAAUAGCAGCCAAAAGUUUUCAGAAAACGCUUAUAGCAGUUAACAACUUCAAUCAGCUUUGAAUGACCGUACUACUGAAAUUUCAGCUAAUGCGCUAUCUUUGACAAAUAGCUGUAAUAAAUUUUUAGUGCUUAAAGAAAAAGAAAAAGUUUUUAGUGCUUUGCUAAAAAAAUAUUUAAUAAAAUAGUUAAAUAUAAAACAUAUAUAAACAAUUACAAAAAUGAGAAAAAACUUGCGCGGAUCGAUAUAGUGGUCAAAAUCUAAUGGAUUUUGAAACAAUUUUAUAUAGUCUUUAAUAACUUGGUAAAUGAAUGUAGAAUGUGUUUUUGCUUAAAUUAAUUUAGUUAAGA